rnacentral:lncRNA from 1 species
CUGAGCUUUUAUUUCUUAGAAAUGUACAAUCGUAGAUAAUAAAUUAUAAAAAAAUGACCAGGCAUUUUUGCAGCUUGACAUAAUAUUUUGAAGGCUUCCUAUGAAAGUAAAACACAGCAAGAUAUAUUAUGAGGUUUACUUACAUGCAUUUUAGUUGUAUUUUAUAGUGUAUUCUACCAUAAAUAUGCAGAUUUAUUUUAUUCAUAAAAUGUAAUCUCUCUUCCAGUGUACUUUUAGAUCAAUUCUCUUUAGAGUAGGACUUAAAAUAUGUUAAUGUGUGGCUAAAGUAUAUUUGAAAAACAUAUUUUAAAGCCUUUAAAACAGGGUUUUCUUCACACCUUAAUUAAUUUUUGCAUUAAGUUAACGUUCUACAACUCAGAUCUGUAUCUUUACAAAAAGUAAAGUAAAAAUAAUUUUCAGUCAACCUACACAAUGUUUCCUUUAUUUAUAGUAAUAUAAAAUAAAAUUGCUAAUAUUUUUCACAUAGUAGUAGAACAAAACACUAUGUGUCUCUGUAGAAGCCUAUGUGGAAAAAAAAUCUCAGGCACAUUGUUAACUCUUGUGUUAUUUGCCUUUAAGAUAGAUGAAGCUGGUGAAUCCUAUUAGAGAAUUAAAGGGGAGAGUAGUUGUUUUUUACUGGUGAGGGAAGGGGGCAGGAAGUUAUAUAGUCAGAAAAGCAGGAGGAAAUAUUCUAAGAGUGUGGGAUGAUGUUGGCAAAUGAGUAAAAUCAAGCUAAAACAGUGGUAUCAUCCGGAAAAAGAGUCAAUUAAAUAAUGAAGAAAACGUUGGAAUUAGUAAUGGUAGAAUGAAUAUACGUAUUUAUUUGAGCUGUUUAACUGCAGUACCAGGAAGAAGUAGACAAUGGACCAUAUCUGGUAAGUCCAAGCCAGCAACCUCAGGGCUUGUGCAGAGCUCAUUCUGCAGCCUGCUCACUGUCCCACACAGUGGCAGCAGCACUUCCUUGCUGAGUGGCCCAGCUUGGCUACAUUCUCAGCAUGGCAAGGCAAAGUGUAGUGCUCAUUGAGUUAUAGCAAAUAAUUUUAUGUGUUUUGGUACACUGGCUAAGCACAGUUCUGUAAAGAGUGUAAAACAGGCAGUCCUGCUUUGAUAUAGGAAAUUGAGAAUAAUUUUCAAGAU